AGCGAACGCUGGCGGCAGGCUUAACACAUGCAAGUCGAGCGGGCCCUUCGGGGUCAGCGGCGGACGGGUGAGUAACGCGUGGGAACGUGCCCUCUGGUCUGGAAUAACCCUGGGAAACUAGGGCUAAUACCGGAUACGCCCUUUUGGGGAAAGGCUUGCUGCCGGAGGAUCGGCCCGCGUCUGAUUAGCUAGUUGGUGGGGUAACGGCCUACCAAGGCGACGAUCAGUAGCUGGUCUGAGAGGAUGAUCAGCCACACUGGGACUGAGACACGGCCCAGACUCCUACGGGAGGCAGCAGUGGGGAAUCUUGGACAAUGGGCGCAAGCCUGAUCCAGCCAUGCCGCGUGAGUGAAGAAGGUCUUCGGAUUGUAAAGCUCUUUUGCCAGGGACGAUAAUGACGGUACCUGGAGAAUAAGCCCCGGCUAACUACGUGCCAGCCGCCGCCGUAA
rnacentral:rRNA from 1 species